AUGGCUUUUGAGUCUUUAAACUGAGAUCAACUAGAGUAACUCCUUAUUAGUAUAAUAUGUGGUACAUUCUCUAUCUGGGGCAAGCACAAUAAAUACAUAUUUUGAUCAGGGAGAUACAACAGGAACUUGCUUUUUCCUCUUCAUUCACUGACUUGUGUUUGCAGUACAUCUCAGAAUGGCACACACUCU